UUAGUUCCAGCACGUUAUGUGGGCACUCUAAGGAGACUGCCGGUGACAAACCGGAGGAAGGUGGGGAGUGACGUCAAGUCAUCAUGGCCCUUACGGCCUGGGCUACACACGUGCUACAAUGGUCGGUACAAAGGGUUGCCAAGCCGCGAGGUGGAGCUAAUCCCAUAAAACCGAUCGUAGUCCGGAUCGCAGUCUGCAACUCGACUGCGUGAAGUCGGAAUCGCUAGUAAUCGUGAAUCAGAAUGUCACGGUGAAUACGUUCCCGGGCCUU
rnacentral:rRNA from 1 species